GACGAACGCUGGCGGCGUGCUUAACACAUGCAAGCCGAACGGUGACCUCGAGAGCUUGCUCUUGAGUGAUCAGUGGCGAACGGGUGAGUAACACGUGAGUAACCUGCCCCAGACUCUGGAAUAACCCCGGGAAACCGGAGCUAAUACCGGAUACGAAGUGGAGCCGCAUGGCUACUACUUGGAAAGUUUUUCGGUCUGGGAUGGACUCGCGGCCUAUCAGCCAGUUGGUGAGGUAACGGCUCACCAAGGCGGCGACGGGUAGCCAGGCUGAGAGGGCGACCGGCCACACGGGGACUGAGACACGGCCCAGACUCCUACGGGAGGCAGCAGUGGGGAAUAUUGCACAAUGGGCGAAAGCCUGAUGCAGCGACGCCGCGUGAGGGAUGACGGCCUUCGGGUUGUAAACCUCUUUCAGCAGGGAAGAAGCGAAAGUGACGGUACCUGCAGAAGAAGCACCGGCUAACUACGUGCCAGCCGCCGCAGUAACAC
rnacentral:rRNA from 1 species